UGUUGGGGCUGAAAGUAGCAUGUUAGACCGUUUGAAGAUCUAGGUCAAGAUCGCCAAACCACUCGAUAUUUGGCUGAAUUCCCCUAAUCGUCUUCAAUUUCAUGUUUAAUCUAAAGUUAGUAACUAUAAAUUUUGUCGAGAAGCCUGAGUUCACUGAGUGCACUCGGCAACUCGCUGAAACUCUUCUUUGACUGUGUUUUCUGCGCCUCUAAUCCAUGUAAGCACUAUAACUUUUGGCGGUCUAGUCCUUGCUCGCUCAAUGUUUCAGUGAUUCACCAAAAGAUCCUUCCCAUCACCGACAUGCAAAAUUUUUUGGAAUCUUUUAUCCUAUCCUUUCGGCAUGCCCGAUAUGACUCGCCAACGAGAUUCAGCGACUAGCCGAUUGGUUCAACAUGACUCGACCAAAAGUGGCCGGUACAGACAUGCUACCUCGCAAGAGGGACAAGAGAAUAUCAAUCAAUGAGGAUGCAACUGCAUCCAGGGCUAAGACCACCAAAAGUCCUACGACAGGUGGGAAGGUAAAGGGAAAAGGAAAGGAACCUACGACACCGGAGUCCAACUUUGAUAGUGACGGUAUCUAUGCUACUCACCUUACUACUUAUGAGAGUGACAGUAAGCAUCAGGAGCACCAAAUUGCAACUUCUAAGACUGAAGAUGAGCUACUAGCAACCUUGAGAGUGGAGUUGCGUUCCAAGAGUCUAAAUUAUCCUUCUAGGAUCACGAUCCCUCAAACUACUUCUCAUACUCCAGUUAACACAAGUUGUGGUCCUAGAACCAUUGGUACAAGGUCCGCCUUGACUGUCUAUGAACACACUAAAGACCGAGGAUUUGAGGACCAUCACAGAGGAGAAGACUCUCUCUACUGAUGAAGUAAUUGAUAGGUACUCGAAGAUCAUUAGUUGUCUGAGGUCUCAAAAAUUCUAUCUCAUUACCAAGCCUCAUGGGCCCAUACUUUCCAAAUUGAUUCAGACAACACUCACUAAUGUUGUGACACCUUUGAGUGCUACAAUUGAGGUCAUUGCUUCUAGGAUAGUAGUGUGCGAGAGUGGCCAAGGGGACAACAAGGAGGUGAUGACUCUAAAGGCUGCUAUUGCUGCACUUAGGAGAGGUGUGGACCAGCUAAAGUCUAUCGACAUGUCUAUAGUUUUCGAGAAGAUGGAGAUCCCAAAUGUGCCAGUUGAUCUAGAUAUGCCUCCGACUUCUAUAGAAAAUGUUUGUUUGAGCUGAGGAGGUAGAUGAUCCCGAGUCUAAGGUUGAGACGAUGAGGAGCGACUUGGUGGUGAUGAGGAGGCCUCUUAUGAGAGCCUUACAGAGAUUUAGGAGGUCAUGGUAGAUGCGACUGUGCAGACUUCUUUGGAAAACACACCAUUAGUUGGCCCUAGUAGAGCUGGUAGUGCUGGUGAUGUGACUCUAGGAAUAAAACCCAAGAUCAGAGCGAUGCACCAGGCAUUGAUGCCCUGACAAAUAAAUCGAUUACAUAGAAAAGAUCCCUCUUUAUCUCCCUCUCUUUCAUCAUUAUGUACUUUUUAGAUAUUUUUCUUAUAUUUGAGGACAAAUUGUUUUUGUUUUGUGGUGGGGUGAGGCUCACUUUUUUUGAUUAUUGCCCUGCUCAAAUAUUGUAUUUUGCGCUAUAAAUUGUGUUUUGGCACUGCAUUUGUUGAUGUUUGAGCUUGUGGCUACUUUUUUUGAAUGUAAAUUUUUUUGCCCCUUUUUGAAAAAGUUUGUCCAUCUUAAUGUGUUUGGUAGUGACAGUUCUUUUGGAAAUUUUAGCAUCGGUCUUGAUUAAUAUCGAUGACUUAAAUACUUCUCAUAAUCGAACAAAAUUAUUGUGCUUCUUUGAUGAGGCCAAAUUAACUUACAUAGACAAUAUGUGAACUUUUUGCAUCUCGUUAUGACUAGCCGAUUAUCAAAUCGAGUCUCUUGUGAUGAACAUUGCACACUGGCAAAAGUAUGGAGUCUUGUUUGACAUUGGUGUGAAUGCCUUGUGUGAUGAUCUUACCAUGAAUUAUUUGUGAUGAUACCUAGAAUUUUCCCCAUUGGUCCGGUUGACUAAGUGGUGCAAUCUCUUUGAAUGAUCUUAGGCAACUAUUGAAGAGUGAAAUGAUUUGACAUUAUACCUCUUUUGUGGUAAACCUGUACAAUUAUGACCUUGUUUUAUCCCUUCACCCAUAAUCCUCAUAAGAUGUGGUUCGUUUGAAUAGCCAACUUAGGCCAAAAAAAAGUUGGCAGUGUGGUGAAAAGAGAAUAUAAAUUAAGAAAUAAAAAAAUAAUUACCCUUUGAUUCAUGAUUUUGAAAAAGAUGGACCCCCAUAUAAAAAAAAGAAAAAAAGAAAAAAAGAAAA